CACCGUCCCAAGAUGGCUGCCAGGUGCGGUGGCUAAGCCUGGGGACAUCUGAAGCCGGUGCCGACCAUCAGGGCCGAGUUGCGACGAGAGAGUGUUAUUAAGCCGAGUUGAUCCUCCUCCCCAGACAUGCUUUCAUGUCUUCCUGUGGGACGUCUUUGCGCCAGGCGGGAUCCUCUGGUGAGACUUCCAACCAGGCGGUAAUUACACCGCUAAUUACACAACUACAAAACAAGACAAGAAAAAAAACCCUCGGCCUUGCACUGGAAUUACCUGCCUCGACGCUCACCUCACAACUUCACUCGACGCCGCGCGCCCGCAAGAAAAGUUUCCACGCCAAUUUGCAAGUUGUGGAAGUGAAGCAGCAGAACAUUGAGUUGUGGAGUGAAAGUGAGAGAGCAGAGUGA